UACAGAGGGUGCGAGCGUUAAUCGGAAUUACUGGGCGUAAAGCGCGCGUAGGCGGCUUGGCAAGUCGGGUGUGAAAUCCCCAAGCUUAACUUGGGAACUGCAUUCGAGACUGCAUUGCUAGAGUAUGGGAGAGGGAAGUGGAAUUUCCGGUGUAGCGGUGAAAUGCGUAGAGAUCGGGAGGAACACCUGUGGCGAAGGCGGCCGACUGGGCCGACCCUGACGCUGAGGCGCGAAGGCGUGGGGAGCGAACGGG
rnacentral:rRNA from 1 species